rnacentral:rRNA from 1 species
UCUUCCUACGGGACGCAGCAGUCGGGAAUAUUGCGCAAUGGAGGGAACUCUGACGCAGUGACGCCGCGUAUAGGAAGAAGGUUUUCGGAUUGUAAACUAUUGUAGACAGGGAAGAAAAAAAUGACAGUACCUGUAAAGUAAGCUCCGGCUAACUACGUGCCAGCAGCCGCGGUAAUACGUAGGGAGCAAGCGUUAUCCGGAAUUAUUGGGUGUAAAGGGUGCGUAGACGGGAAUACAAGUUAGUUGUGAAAUCCCUCGGCUUAACUGAGGAACUGCAACUAAAACUAUAUUUCUUGAGUGCGGGG